GCCUGGGUGGCUCAGUCGGUUAAGCGUCUGACUUCGGCUCAGGUCACGAUCUCGCGGUCCGUGAGUUCGAGCCCCGCGUCGGGCU
rfam:Felis catus isolate Cinnamon breed Abyssinian chromosome D3, whole genome shotgun sequence.